AGAGUUUGAUCCUGGCUCAGGAUUAACGUUGGCGGCGUGCAUAACACAUGCAAGUUGAGCGUGGCUCUUAUUUAUUAGAGUCUAGCAGCGGACGGCUGAGUAAUGCACAGGAACGUACCUCGAAGUGGGGCAUACCCCAUCGAAAGAUGGGGUAAUACCGCGUGUGGUGGCAACACCAAAGCCGCAAGGCGCUUCGAGAGCGGCCUGUGUCCUAUCAGGUUGUUGGUGGGGUAAUUGCCUACCAAGCCUAUGACGGGUAGCUGGUCUGAGAGGACCACCAGCCAGAUCGGGACUGACACACGGCCCGAACUCCUACGGGAGGCAGCAGUUGGGAAUUUUGCGCAAUGCACGAAAGUGUGACGCACCGACGCCGCGUGGAGGAUGAAGGCCCUAGGGUCAUAAACUCCUUUUGUAGGGGAGUAAUUUGUGAAAGUACCCUAAAAAUAAGCACCGGCUAACUCCGUGCCAGCAGCCGCGGUAAUACGGAGGGUGCAAACGUUGUCCGGAAUCACUGGGCGUAAAGAGCAUGUAGGUGGCCUUGUAAGUGAGUGAUUAAAGACCGACGCUUAACGUC
rnacentral:rRNA from 1 species